GCUAAAUAUAAACAAUAUAUCUUUAUUCCAUCAAAAAUAAGAUUGAAAACAAAAAAAACACAGUAAUACAAUUUUAUCAAAUAGAUAUUUCUUAUUUUACAAAAAAGUAAGUACACUUACAAGUACAGAUGUUUUGCUACACCUCCCAUGAUGCUUUGUCAGUAUUAUGGGUGUAAAAGCAUUAUGGGGGACGUAGUCCACAACAUUUGGAGUGCCGAAGGUUGCCUGUCGCUGCUAUAUUGUAUGCAAAGGCAAAAAAAGACAAACAUCUGGAUAAAAUACCUUAAAGUAGUCACAGGAGUCAAUGAACCAACUCCCAGCGUUUUGGCUAUAGAGCACAGACACACUGCAUCUCCAGCACACACAAUCCUCUAUCUCAUACUAUAUCCCCAACACACACUACAUCAUUAGUACAACAAUAUAUUCUUUACAUAGACUGCAUCACCAGAAAAAACUCACUACAUCACCUACAGACGCUACCACAUAUACACACACACAUUGCAUCCCCUAUACACACAUUCCGUACACAAACACCACAUCCCUCGCACAUGCACUACAACUCCAAUGCACACACUUUAUAUAUCUGUACAUCCCCUAUACACAAAUUCACUGUAUUCCGUACACAAAACCCACAUCCCUCGCACAUGCACUACAACUCCUACGCACACACUUUAUAUAUCUGUACAUCCCUUAUACACAAAUUCACUGCAUUCCGUACACAAACGCCACAUCCCUCGCACAUGCAUUACAACUCCUAUGCACACACUUUAUAUAUCUUUACAUCCCCUAUACACACACACUACACCACAAACCGUACCCACAAGUAGUCUUUAAAAACAUUAACAAUUCCAUUUUCUGCCCCCUGCCCCACUUUGUCCUCUGGUAUACCACUUAUGGAGAUACAAUAUUAUUAUUGGCAUUUAUAUAGUGCCAGCUUAUUCUGCAGCACUUUACAAAAUUAUAAAGGAGGAAAUCUGACAAUAAAUGAGACAAUUAUGAAGUUACAGGAACAAUAGAUUGACAAGAACCCUACUCAAACAAGCUUACAGUCUAGAGGACGGGGGUAAGAAACCAUAGACAAGUCACAAGUAAUUGUGAGGUGUAUUACAAAACAACUUUGUGAUACUGACAUGCAAAAUUCACAUUACACUGUGAGGCCACUAACACAGCUCAAGCACUGGGUCCCCUUUGGCCUCCCUCCAAGCCCGUCCUCAAGGCCUACCUCCAAGUCUCGCACACAGGGCCUGCCUCCAAGUCCACCCGCAAGGAUGCAGUGUUUGUAGAGUGGAUACAGGGUGUGUGUUUUUUGUGGAUGCAGUGUGUGUUUGUGUAUUGGAUUUCAGAGUUAGAGUUUUGACUUAUUAAAAA